AACGACAGAAUUGUUAAUAACAGGAAAUAGUAUAACAGUUAAAAGGGCACACUAUUUUAAGCGUAAACAUUUCAGCAACUAUACGUAGUACCAAAGUAGUAGUUAGAGUAAGUAUCUCUGGCGGUUAGCAAGUGAAGAUCUUUACGCUCAAAAUCUGAGAUGUACCUAAAAUACAUAAGGGGAAAAACGAAGUGCAAUUUGUCAUUCGUGAACCUACAUAGGUUUGCUAAAGCUUCUAUCACCAACAGUAAUGAUUAUAAGGAGUCCUAAAAUCCAGUCUAUUAACUAAUUACUUCGAUAAAUAUUUAGGAAAUAAAAAUGAUGAUCAAUCCAUUAGAGUUUACCUAAUGGAUGUUUCAAGUAUGUAGACACAGAAUGUACUUUUGUAUCUAUGGAAGGCAAUUUAG